rnacentral:rRNA from 1 species
UGUACCGUAAACCGACACAGGUAGACGAGGAGAGUAUCCUCAGGCGCUCGAGUGAGUCGCGGCUAAGGAACUCGGCAAAAUGGACCCGUAACUUCGGGAGAAGGGUCGCCCCAGCAAUGGGGCCGCAGUGAAAAGAAUCAGGCGACUGUUUAACAAAAACACAGGGCUCUGCUAAAUCGAAAGAUGAUGUAUAGGGCCUGACACCUGCCCGGUGCUGGAAGGUUAAGGAAGGUUGUUAGCCGCAAGGCAAAGCUUCCGACUGAAGCCCCAGUAAACGGCGGCCGUAACAAUAACGGUCCUAAGGUAGCGAAAUUCCUUGUCGGGUAAGUUCCGACCUGCACGAAUGGUGUAACGAUCUGAUUACUGUCUCAGCCGCGAGCUCGGUGAAAUUGUAGUCCCGGUGAAGAUGCCGGGUACCCGUAACGGGACGGAAAGACCCCGUGAACCUUCACUACAACUUUGCAUUGACUUUGAGUAAACGAUGUGUAGCAUAGGUGGGAGACUAUGAAGCGGGCACGCUAGUGUUCGUGGAGUCAACGUUGAAAUACCACCCUUUGUUUACUUAGAGCCUAAUCCCCAAAGGGGAGAAAAGUGCAUGGUGGGUAGUUUGACUGGGGUGGUCGCCUCCAAAAGAGUAACGGAGGCUUUCAAAGGUACCCUCAGCACGCUUGGUAACCGUGCGCAGAGUGUAUUAGCAUAAGGGUGCUUGACUGUGAGACCGACGGGUCGAGCAGGUACGAAAGUAGGAUAAAGUGAUCCGGUGGUUCUGCAUGGAAGGGCCAUCGCUCAAAGGAUAAAAGGUACUCCGGGGAUAACAGGCUGAUCUCCCCCAAGAGCUCAUAUCGACGGGGAGGUUUGGCACCUCGAUGUCGGCUCGUCACAUCCUGGGGCUGGAGAAGGUCCCAAGGGUUGAGCUGUUCGCUCAUUAAAGUGGCACGCGAGCUGGGUUCAGAACGUCGCAAGACAGUUCGGUCCCUAUCUGUUAUGGGCGUUUGAGAUUUGAGAAGAUCUGUCUCUAGUACGAGAGGACCGGGAUGGACUGACCUCUAGUGUACCAGUUAUGUCGCCAGAUGUACCGCUGGGUAGCUACGUUGGGAAGGGAUAAGCGCUGAAAGCAUCUAAGCACGAAACCCACUUCAAGAUGAGAUCUCAUAGGGUCGUCGAAGACUACGACGUUGAUAGGUUACAGGUGUAAAGGUGGUAACAUCAAAGCCGAGUAAUACUAAUCACCCAUCAACUUU